UACGUAGGGUGCAAGCGUUGUCCGGAAUUACUGGGCGUAAAGAGCUCGUAGGUGGUUUGUCGCGUUGUCCGUGAAAACUCACAACUCAAUUGUGGGCGUGCGGGCGAUACGGGCAGACUGGAGUACUGCAGGGGAGACUGGAAUUCCUGGUGUAGCGGUGGAAUGCGCAGAUAUCAGGAGGAACACCGAUGGCGAAGGCAGGUCUCUGGGCCAUAACUGACGCUGAGAAGCGAAAGCAUGGGGAGCGAACAGG
rnacentral:rRNA from 1 species